rnacentral:rRNA from 1 species
AGCGGCCUACGGGGCGCAGCAGUGGGGAAUAUUGGUCAAUGGGCGCGAGCCUGAACCAGCCAAGUCGCGUGAGGGAAGACGGUCCUAUGGAUUGUAAACCUCUUUUGUCGGGGAGCAAAAGACGCCACGCGUGGCGUUCCGAGAGUACCCGAAGAAAAAGCAUCGGCUAACUCCGUGCCAGCAGCCGCGGUAAUACGGAGGAUGCGAGCGUUAUCCGGAUUUAUUAGGUUUAAAGGGUGCGCAGGCGGAAGAUCAAGUCAGCGGUAAAAUUGAGAGGCUCAACCUCUUCG